rnacentral:lncRNA from 1 species
UUUGUCAUAGUUUACUGCUGCCAGUAUAGAUCCAUAGUACAGGGCUAACCUUAAUCAACUGCCCAGCUCUUGGGACACAGCAAGAAUCUCAGCUUGCUCUUUUCAUCAGUGCCAUGUGGGCCACCACCAGGAGAAAAGGCAAGGCGAAAUGGCACUAUUGUCUAUUUGAGAAUGAGAACGGCUGCUACACUACUGAGCAAUGAGCAUUCCAGUCUGGUCAGUUGCUCAUCCAUUGAAGUAUUAGACUCAUCUUUCCCAACAGCACUAUCCCUGUUGUAAACAUGAACCAGAUUUCCUCAGAAACUUUUUUUUUCUUCUCUUUG